rnacentral:rRNA from 2 species
UACGUAGGGAGCAAGCGUUGUUCGGAUUUACUGGGCGUAAAGGGCGCGUAGGCGGCGCGGUAAGUCACUUGUGAAAUCUCUGAGCUUAACUCAGAACGGCCAAGUGAUACUGCUGUGCUAGAGUGCGGAAGAGGCAACCGGAAUUCUUGGUGUAGCGGUGAAAUGCGUAGAUAUCAAGAGGAACACCUGAGGCGAAGGCGGGUUGCUGGGCCGACACUGACGCUGAUGCGCGAAAGCCAGGGGAGCAAACGGG